rnacentral:rRNA from 1 species
CCGGNANUUAGCCGAUGCUUAUUCCUCAAGUACCGUCAGAACUUCUUUCUUGAGAAAAGAGGUUUACAGACCAAAAUCCUUCAUCCCUCACGCGGUAUUGCUCCGUCAGGCUUUCGCCCAUUGCGGAAAAUUCCCA